GCUUUGUUUCAUUACCUUCUUAAGUUGUGGCUCAGACACUACAACAGAGCUUCGUCAUCUCUUUCUAAAAGCUGGGAAAUGGUUAUUGUCAAUGCCAGCCCCAUUUUGGAGGCACCUGGCUGCAGGGGACCACAGCUAACUUGGUGCGGUGGCUCAGGACUGUAAUUCCAGCUACAUGGGAGGAUUGCUUGAGAUCAGGACUUUGAGACCAGCCUGAACAAUAUAAUAGACUGGGAGCUCCAUGAGGUCCGAGAAAACCUGAAGUCUCCCAGCUCAGAAGAGACUUGCUAUGGCAAUCACUCAGUAACUAUUUGUUGAAUUGGACAUAGUAGAAGAGCUGAAGAAUUUUAAACAAGUCACCAUCAGUCCAGUGGAUUCCUCAAAGCAAACCUGGAAAUCUCGGCAUGAGUUGGAUUUAAGGCAGUACAUUUUCAGCUCCUCAAAAUUUGAACAGUUUCUCAAGAGAACAACUUGAAACAGAAAGGAAGGAUGUAGAUGUGGUUGUAGAAGAUGAUGUCUAAGGCCACCAAACUGUCCACUGUGAAGAUAAACCAUGCAUGUUUAGUAGGCGGUGGCUCCCCUUCCCUGUGGGGAGUCCCACUGCUUCCCUGGCCUGGGAGUUCUCUGCCAGUAGAUGUUAUUGACAAAAUAAGCAAAGUCCCCUGAUUCAGAUAAUUAGAGUUUAUGAUAGCUCUAGAUUGCCACUGCCAUGCUAUUUAAAGUCCUGCUUUAUUGUCUGACAUGAGUUUGGCACCUGUGAGGACUUGUCCAAUGCAAGGUACAAUCUCCACUGAAAGAUACCACCAGCACAUCUUGUCACUGUGCUGUAGCAAGCCGGGCAGUACAAUGAUGUUGGCAGGACCCUGUUUAGGUGGAGGAUGGCUACCUGGGCAUCAAUAACAUUCUACCUUGAUUCCACAUUGAUUCCCAAACAGCUCUUCACCCACAUCUUCUAAUUAAAGCAGCAGAUGGGAGUCCCAGCUAGAGAAAAGUUCUGGGAGCA